CCAAAAAUCAAGUCCCAAUGUUCAGAGCCAAUGCGGCUGAGGCAUCCGCAGUUGCCGUGAUUCAUUCUGAUCAAAGUCUUUGUUUCUUUCUCCUAAUUUCUUUUUCUCUUAGCCUGAAACAGUAGUAGAGAACAUAUCUUCUCCACAAGUGUGUGCUAAAUGAACAAGCACCUGAGGUAAAGGGGACGGUGGAGAGCGAAGAGGGACAGCGGUGCCGCGGAGUGACUGGAGGAACGAGGGUACCACAAACAGAAACCGCUGGAGAGGGUAACAGAUCCUAGAAGAGUAUCUUCUCAGAAUCAAGCGGAAGCUGUUAACUUGAGGAAAUGCUGAUGAAUAUCCCCAGCAGAAGAGCCAUCAUGUCGGCACCACCAUCACCAGCAGUCCUUUCUACAGAAUGCAAACUUCACUACUGGACAAGCAAGGAAUCAGAAGAAUAAAGGAAAUUGUGGUUUGUCCAUCUUCAUCUCUCAAUUGCUGCCAGUGGAGGGGGUCAUCCUCCUGUGUUCCAUGGGGCAGUGGGGUGGCCAGUACUAACGUGAGCGGUGGCUUCUGGUGGCACCAAAACAGCAGAGGAACACGUGGACUGGAAUGGAUGUGAGACAACCUCCCUUUUUACUGACAUUAGAAGACAAGUCAGAACACAAAACGAAGAGAAGCCGCAUUCUUUGCCACAUUAGCAUUGUACAAGGAACACCUGAACUUGGCAAUGAUUCUGUAAUUAAACAAAAUAAGAAAAUGUAUUUUCUGGUCAAGACAUUGCAACAUAUAUGAGACAUCUGGAGCUUCUGUACCAGAAUUCCCAUUAUUUACCAGUCACCUUUCCAGUCAUCACACAGUGGAAUUUUCAUCUUCU
rnacentral:lncRNA from 1 species